AUCGUCUCAGUUCUAUGCACAGCGAAAACAUUUACCCAGACACGAAACGGCUAAGAAAAACGUAGCUGAAACGCCGAUUUAGUCAUGUGAACCCAAAGAUAUCGACAGUGGUCAUGACGAUGUGUUCGAAGGGUCCCAUAAAACAUGUUCAAAACAAAUCAAAUACGUGGUUAAUAGCCCACAGAACUGCAAUUUCGGUGGAGCAAAUUCAGAAAACUCAGUGUCCUUUACAAGACAUAGCUCCGCCGAUUUACAAACAAAGGUUCAAGGUCAAACAGAACUUGCUCUUAAAGAAGUUUGGAAUGAAGACACAGAAACAAUUAACGGUGUCAAAACAAAUCUGUAUAAAAAAAGCCAAAUAAAAGCUUGAACGACCAAGACAAAAACAAGUUUUGAUCAUAAAAGGGGAAGGUCUUGGUUGCGACUAUAUUGCAAAAAUGAUCUUUGCAGAAACGUGCCAAAACAAAACAACAGGAUUUUAUCUUAAUGACUUAAAUGAUUGGGUUGUUGCAAAUGGCCACAUACGUAAAAAUGAUAGAGGAGUAGUUCUUAUAUUAAACGCAAACUUGAAUGAUUGGACCAACAUAAUAAAACAUCAAAUGUUUCCGUCAGCUAACAGGGGCGAAUACCUAACCGUGAUCAUCACAACUAACACGCAAGUAACAGACACUGCGCUACAUAACUUCGUUUUGGAUGCUUCAUAUCAAUAUGCACAUCCCACAGAAGAAGACAAAAUGCACGUCUUUGAAAUUAUGGCGAAACAAAAAAGUCUCCUUAUAAUACCAGGUCACGGCGACAAGGUUCAGGUGGCAACAAGGAAUCGUCGGUUUCCAACAAUGACAACGUUUACCAAGGAAAUGAUUUGAGGACUAUUGGAAAACAUAUGUGGGUUCGUAGACUCAAUGCUUUCUUUACAGGGACGAUGGGAGAAGCAUCGCUUUUCUUUAGGAAGCCAGAUCCAAAACUUGUGGAAGACUUCAGAAACAAAA